AGAGUUUGAUCCUGGCUCAGGACGAACGCUGGCGGGUGCUUAACACAUGCAAGUGGAGCGACGAACCUGGCUUCGGCCAGGGGCAGAGCCGCGAACGGGUGAGUAACACGUGGGUUAUCUGCCCAGUUGACAGGGACAACCCGGGGAAACCCGGGCUAAUACCUGAUGUGCCCCUCGGGGGAAAAGGAAGCUUCGGCCUCCGCAACUGGAUGAGCCCGCGGCCCAUUAGCUUGUUGGUGGGGUAAUGGCCUACCAAGGCUGCGAUGGGUAGCUGGUCUGAGAGGACGAUCAGCCACACUGGGACUGAGACACGGCCCAGACUCCUACGGGAGGCAGCAGUGGGGAAUCUUGCGCAAUGCGCGAAAGCGUGACGCAGCAACGCCGCGUGGAGGAAGACGGCCUUCGGGUUGUAAACUCCUUUCAGUUGGGACGAAGCCUUUGCGGUGAAUAGCCGUAUGAGGUGACGGUACCUUCAGAAGAAGCCCCGGCUAACUACGUGCCAGCAGCCGCGGUAAUACGUAGGGGGCAAGCGUUGUCCGGAAUCAUUGGGCGUAAAGCGCGUGUAGGCGGCCUUGUAAGUCCGUUCUGAAAGUCCGGGGCUCAACCCCGGGAGGCGGAUGGAUACUGCAAGGCUCGAGUCCGGAAGAGGCGAGUGGAAUUCCCGGUGUAGCGGUGAAAUGCGCAGAUAUCGGGAGGAACACCAAUGGCGAAGGCAGCUCGCUGGGACGGUACUGACGCUGAGNNNGGAAAGCGUGGGGAGCAAACAGGAUUAGAUACCCUAGUAGUCC
rnacentral:rRNA from 1 species